rnacentral:rRNA from 1 species
GACGAACGCUGGCGGCGUGCUUAACACAUGCAAGUCGAACGGAAAGGCCCUGCUUUUGUGGUGUGCUCGAGUGGCGAACGGGUGAGUAACACGUGAGUAACCUGCCCUUGACUUUGGGAUAACUUCAGGAAACUGGGGCUAAUACCGGAUAGGAUCUCCUGCUGCAUGGUGGGGGUUGGAAAGUUUCGGCGGUUGGGGAUGGACUCGCGGCUUAUCAGCUUGUUGGUGGGGUAGUGGCUUACCAAGGCUUUGACGGGUAGCCGGCCUGAGAGGGUGACCGGCCACAUUGGGACUGAGAUACGGACCAGACUCCUACGGGAGGCAGCAGUGGGGAAUCUUGCACAAUGGGCGGAAGCCUGAUGCAGAAACGCCGCGUGCGGGAUGACGGCCUUCGGGUUGUAAACCGCUUUCGCCUGUGACGAAGCGUGAGUGACGGUAAUGGGUAAAGAAGCACCGGCUAACUACGUG